UACGGAGGGUGCGAGCGUUGUCCGGAAUCACUGGGCGUAAAGGGCGCGUAGGUGGCGCGGAGAGUCAACGGUGAAAGCUCGGGGCUCAACCCCGAGUCGGCCGUCGAUACUUCCGGGCUGGAGCACUGUAGAGGCAGGUGGAAUUCCGGGUGUAGCGGUGGAAUGCGUAGAUAUCAGGAGGAACACCGGUGGUGAAAACGAGUCUCUGGUCCGCUUCUGACGCUCAGGUGCGAAAGCUAGGGGAGCAAACGGG
rnacentral:rRNA from 1 species